rnacentral:lncRNA from 1 species
CUAAUUUCUUGUCUUUAAUUAACUAGAAAGUUGACAAAGAAUAUAUAUCUCCGUCAUGCACAUUUGUCUAAUCCAAUAGAAAAAGUCAUGAGUUGCAAAUAAGUAGUCUCAAGUUCGAAUUCAUAUGACACUUUAUUAGUGUAUGUGUAUGAACCUUCCACUAUCCCUUAUAGUUUCGACAGUCAUUUGUGUUUAAAAAAAUGGCAUUUGUAAAUGAAUUAUAGUUCAAC